GAACUUAAGCAUAUCAAUAAGCGGAGGAAAAGAAACUAACAAGGAUUCCCCUAGUAACUGCGAGUGAAGCGGGAAAAGCUCAAAUUUAAAAUCUGGCGUGCCUCUGGUCGUCCGAGUUGUAGUUUAGAGAAGCGUUUUCUGUGUUGGACCGUGUAUAAGUCUCUUGGAACAGGGCGUCAUAGAGGGUGAGAAUCCCGUCUUUGACACGGACUACCAAUGCUUUGUGAUACGCUCUCAAAGAGUCGAGUUGUUUGGGAAUGCAGCUCAAAAUGGGUGGUAAAUUCCAUCUAAAGCUAAAUAUAGGCGAGAGACCGAUAGCGAACAAGUACCGUGAGGGAAAGAUGAAAAGCACUUUGGAAAGAGAGUUAAACAGUACGUGAAAUUGCUGAAAGGGAAACGCUUGAAGUCAGUCACGUCUGCCAGGACUCAGCCUUGCUUCUGCUUGGUGUACUUUCUGGUUGGAUGGGCCAACAUCGAUUUCGACCGUUGGAGAAAGGCUUUGGGAAUGUGGCACCUUUGGGUGUGUUAUAGCCCUUUGUUGUAUACAAUGGUUGGGAUCGAGGACUGCAGCAUGCCUUCAUGGCCGGGGUUCGCCCACGUACAUGCUUAGGAUGUUGGCAUAAUGGCUUUAAGCGACCCGUCUUGAAACACGGACCAAGGAGUCUAACAUGCCUGCGAGUGUUUGGGUGGAAAACCCAUGCGCGUAAUGAAAGUGAUAGCUGAGAUCCUCUCAUCAGGAGCAUCAGCGCCUGGACUUGAUCUACGGAGACGGUUCUACGGUAGAGCAUGUAUGUUGGGACCCGAAA
rnacentral:rRNA from 1 species